rnacentral:rRNA from 1 species
GAUGAGUCCGCGUACCAUUAGCUAGUUGGCAGGGUAAUGGCCUACCAAGGCAACGAUGGUUAGCUGGUCUGAGAGGAUGAUCAGCCACACUGGAACUGAGAUACGGUCCAGACUCCUACGGGAGGCAGCAGUGAGGAAUCUUGCGCAAUGGGGGAAACCCUGACGCAGCAACGCCGCGUGAGUGAGGAAGGUCUUCGGAUCGUAAAGCUCUGUCAGUUGGGAAGAAAUGGCUGGAGGUUAAUACCCUUUAGUCUUGACGGUACCAACAGAGGAAGCACCGGCUAACUCCGUGCCAGCAGCCGCGGUAAUACGGGGGGUGCAAGCGUUGUUCGGAAUUAUUGGGCGUAAAGAGCGUGUAGGCGGCCUGAUAUGUCAGAUGUGAAAGCUCUGGGCUUAACCCAGGAAGUGCAUUUGAAACUGUCAGGCUCGAGUAGGGGAGAGGGAAGUGGAAUUCCUGGUGUAGAGGUGAAAUUCGUAGAUAUCAGGAGGAACACCGGUGGCGAAGGCGACUUCCUGGCCCUAUACUGACGCUGAGACGCGAGAGCGUGGGUAGCAAACAGGAUUAGAUACCCUGGUAGUCCACGCCGUAAA